rnacentral:rRNA from 1 species
UACAGAGGGCUCAAGCGUUGUUCGGAUUCAUUGGGCGUAAAGGGUGUGUAGGUGGCGCGCUAAGUCGGGUGUGAAAUUUCGGAGCUUAACUCCGAAACUGCAUUCGAUACUGGCGUGCUUGAGGACUGGAGAGGAGACUGGAAUUUACGGUGUAGCAGUGAAAUGCGUAGAUAUCGUAAGGAAGACCAGUGGCGAAGGCGGGUCUCUGGACAGUUCCUGACACUGAGACACGAAGGCGAGGGGAGCAAACGGG